rnacentral:rRNA from 1 species
GACGAACGCUGGCGGCGUGCUUAACACAUGCAAGUCGAACGGAAAGGCCCUGCUUUUGUGGGGUGCUCGAGUGGCGAACGGGUGAGUAACACGUGAGUAACCUGCCCUUGACUUUGGGAUAACUCCAGGAAACUGGGGCUAAUACCGGAUAGGAGCUCCUGCUGCAUGGUGGGGGUUGGAAAGUUUCGGCGGUUGGGGAUGGACUCGCGGCUUAUCAGCUUGUUGGUGGGGUAGUGGCUUACCAAGGCUUUGACGGGUAGCCGGCCUGAGAGGGUGACCGGCCACAUUGGGACUGAGAUCCGGCCCAGACUCCUACGGGAGGCAGCAGUGGGGAAUAUUGCACAAUGGGCGGAAGCCUGAUGCAGCAACGCCGCGUGCGGGAUGACGGCCUUCGGGUUGUAAACCGCUUUCGCCUGUGACGAAGCGUGAGUGACGGUAAUGGGUAAAGAAGCACCGGCUAACUACGUG